CAGUAAAGGAAGAAUUUAAAACAGGCUCAAUAGAAGAUAAUUGAAAUGGAGGCUCAGUUUAUCCUUUGCAAUUUGCUGAUAAUUUCAGUAAUAUUAAGUACCUGAGAAUCCCACUCAAGCCUCAUGAUCUACUUCUGCUACUCCAAUCAUCAAUUACUACUGAGCUUUUGCUAUCUGAGUUGCCCAUCCACACUGCUGUAUUGUCUUUGCUUAAAGAUGCUGUUAACCAACAACUAGGACCUCUACAACAGUCCACAAGGAGGAUUGGUGGAUAUGUCCUGUAUGGCCUAUGAGGUGCUGGCAAUUCUUUGGAGAAACAGGGAUUGAUUAUCAUUGUGAAAAUGAAAUUCAGCUGAAGUAAUCAGAACAACAAGGAUAUCUUGGGGAGUGCCCUGAAACUGCUUCUGGGGGACUUGGAUGCCAAUUUUGCUGCAGGAUCUCUCUGGUGUAGCACAAGCAUUUUACACAACCCUGUUCCUGGGUCACUGCCUUUGAGAGGAAGUUGUUCAACAUCAUUAGACAAUGAGCUGCUCUCAACAGUAAUAACAAGAUCUCUGUUUUAAGGUGACAACUAGCAGAGAUAACAUGACACUUCUUUAUAGCAUUGCCACAGUUUCUGGCUAUGCCAUGUCCUUCUGUCCAUCUGUCUUUGGCAGCGUCUUGCAGUGGCAGUGCCACAGGGAAGAGCUGGUUUUGUUGAUAGUGCCAGAAAUUGCAACUCAACUAUCCUAAUCUGGAGAUUACUGAAAACUGUGUGGAAAAUUUUUCAUGUUAUUCUCUUUUGAAGAGAGUUUUAAAAACAAAGCAAAACA